UGCGAAGUAGAGCAGCGGUAGCUCGUCGGGCUCAUAACCCGAAGGUCCUUGGUUCGAUCCCAAGCUUCGCAA
rnacentral:tRNA from 2 species